rnacentral:rRNA from 1 species
UACUGCUGACCGGUAUCUUGCAGAAUAAGCAUCUGGCUAAUACCGUGCCCACCAGCCGCGGUUAUUACGUACGUGUGCCAAGCAGUUAAUCGGAAUGACUGGGCGUAAAGCGUGUGUAGGCCGGUAUGGAAAGAAAAGAUGUGAAAUCCCAGGGCUCAACCUUGGAACUGCAUUUUUUAUCUGCCGAGCUAGAGUAUGUCAGAGGGGGGUAGCAUUCCACGUGUAGCAGUGAAAUGCGUAGAUAUGUGGAGGAAUACCGAUGGCGAAGGCAGCCCCCCUGGGAUAAUACUGACGCUCAGACACGAAAGCGUGGGGAGCAAACAGGAUUAGAUACCCUGGUAGUCCACGCCCUAAACGAUGUCAACUAGCUGUUGGGGCCGUUAGGCCUUAGUAGCGCAGCUAACGCGUGAAGUUGACCGCCUGGGGAGUACGGUCGCAAGAUUAAAACUCAAAGGAAUUGACGGGGACCCGCACAAGCGGUGGAUGAUGUGGAUUAAUUCGAUGCAACGCGAAAAACCUUACCUACCCUUGACAUGUCUGGAAAGCCGAAGAGAUUUGGCCGUGCUCGCAAGAGAACCGGAACACAGGUGCUGCAUGGCUGUCGUCAGCUCGUGUCGUGAGAUGUUGGGUUAAGUCCCGCAACGAGCGCAACCCUUGUCAUUAGUUGCUACGCAAGAGCACUCUAAUGAGACUGCCGGUGACAAACCGGAGGAAGGUGGGGAUGACGUCAAGUCCUCAUGGCCCUUAUGGGUAGGGCUUCACACGUCAUACAAUGGUCGGGACAGAGGGUCGCCAACCCGCGAGGGGGAGCCAAUCUCAGAAACCCGAUCGUAGUCCGGAUCGCAGUCUGCAACUCGACUGCGUGAAGUCGGAAUCGCUAGUAAUCGCGGAUCAGAAUGUCGCGGUGAAUACGUUCCCGGGUCUUGUACACCCCGCCCGUCACCCCAUGGGAGUGGGUUUCACCAGAAGUAGGUAGCCUAACCGCAAGGAGGGCGCUUACCACGGUGGGAUUCAGACUGGGGGAAGUCGU